GGGAGGUAGUGACAAUAAAUAACAAUACAGGGCUCUUAUGGGUCUUGUAAUUGGAAUGAGUACAAUUUAAAUCCCUUAACGAGGAACAAUUGGAGGGCAAGUCUGGUGCCAGCAGCCGCGGUAAUCCCAGCUCCAAUAGCGUAUAUUAAAGUUGUUGCAGUUAAAAAGCUCGUAGUUGAAUUUCGGGAUCAAUUUAUCGGUCGUGCCUACGGUAUGAACUGGUACAAUUGGUUUCUCCCUUCUGACGAAGCAUGAUGUCAUUAAUUUGGUGUCGUGGGGAAUCAGGACUGUUACUUUGAAAAAUUAGAGUGUUUAAAGCAGGCUAACGCUUGAAUACAUUAGCAUGGAAUAAUGAAAUAGGACGUUAAUCCUAUUUUGUUGGUUUCUAGGAUCGACGUAAUGAUUAAUAGGGAUAGUUGGG
rnacentral:rRNA from 1 species